UACAUGGGGUGCAAACGUUGCUCGGAAUUAUUGGGCGUAAAGCGCACGUAGGCGGUUACCUAAGUCGGAUGUGAAAGCCCUCGGCUUAACCGAGGAAGUGCAUCCGAAACUGGGUGGCUAGAGUACGAAAGAGGGUCGCGGAAUUCCCGGUGUAGAGGUGAAAUUCGUAGAUAUCGGGAGGAACACCGGUGGCGAAGGCGGCGACCUGGGUCGAUACUGACGCUGAGGUGCGAAAGCGUGGGGAGCAAACAGG
rnacentral:rRNA from 1 species